rnacentral:misc_RNA from 1 species
GGAUGAAGAACGCAGCGAAAUGCGAUAAGUAAUGUGAAUUGCAGAAUUCAGUGAAUCAUCGAAUCUUUGAACGCACAUUGCGCCCUUUGGUAUUCCUUAGGGCAUGCCUGUUCGAGCGUCAUUUGAAACCUCAAGCUCAGCUUGGUGUUGGGUGUCUGUCCCCGCCUCACCGCGGGGACUCGCCUCAAAAUCAUUGGCGGCCGGUACGUUGGCUUCGAGCGCAGCAGAAACGCGAACUCGAGGCCCGGCGGAUCGGCGACCAGAAGUCACUUCUUCACAGUUUGACCUCGGAUCAGGUAGGGAUACCCGCUGAACUUAAGCAUAUCAAUAAGCGGAGGA